AUUGAACGCUGGCGGAAUGCUUUACACAUGCAAGUCGAACGGUAGAGGGGGCAACCCCUCGAGAGUGGCGAACGGGUGAGUAAUAUAUCGGAACGUGCCCAGUCGUGGGGGAUAACGUAGCGAAAGUUACGCUAAUACCGCAUACGAUCUAAGGAUGAGAGCGGGGGAUCGCAAGACCUCGCGCGAUUGGAGCGGCCGAUAUCAGAUUAGGUAGUUGGUGGGGUAAAGGCUCACCAAGCCAACGAUCUGUAGCUGGUCUGAGAGGACGACCAGCCACACGGGAACUGAGACACGGUCCAGACUCCUACGGGAGGCAGCAGUGGGGAAUUUUGGACAAUGGACGCAAGUCUGAUCCGGCCAUUCCGCGUGCAGGAUGAAGGCCCUCGGGUUGUAAACUGCUUUUGUACGGAACGAAAAGGUCUCUCUUAAUACGGGGGACUCAUGACGGUACCGUAAGAAUAAGCACCGGCUAACUACGUGCCAGCCGCCGCGGUAA
rnacentral:rRNA from 1 species